rnacentral:rRNA from 1 species
UACGAAGGGAGCUAGCGUUGUUCGGAAUCACUGGGCGUAAAGCGCACGUAGGCGGAUGUGUCAGUCAGGGGUGAAAUCCCGGAGCUCAACUUCGGAACUGCCUUUGAUACAGCACGUCUUGAGUCCGAUAGAGGUGGGUGGAAUUCCUAGUGUAGAGGUGAAAAUUCGUAGAUAUUAGGAAGAACACCGGUGGCGAAGGCGGCCCACUGGAUCGGUACUGACGCUGAGGUGCGAAAGCGUGGGAGCAAACAGG